CAGAAUCUGAUGAUGGCGAGGACGAUGAACUGGAUGGGCUUCCACCAAAGAAAAGAAUGUAUGGGAGGAAUAGUGAUGACGGCUCUUCGUUCAGGAUGCUAGCCGACUCCAUUCACAAGUUCAGUGAGAUCUAUGAGAAAAUAGAGAGCAGCAAAAGACAUCAAAUGAUGGAGUUGGAGAAGAUGAGGAUGGAUUUCUUAAGAGAUUUGGAGUUACAGAAAAGGCAGAUAAUGGAGAGAGCCCAAGCAGAGAUCGCGAAACUUAGGCAGGGCGACGAUGAGGAAUACGGUGCCUCCGCCAAGAGUGCCAGUGGAUAAUGUAAUCUUAAUAUACAAUCUUGCACGUUUACUGUUUCUUUGUAUGUUAUUGAUCACUCGUCUGUAUUAUAUGGGAGGGGCCGCCCCCUAUUGAUUUCUAAUCAGUGCAAUAUAUUAGAAGGAACCGUUCCUACUUUUUG
rnacentral:misc_RNA from 1 species